AUGAACGCUAGCUACAGGCUUAACACAUGCAAGUCGAGGGGCAGCAUGGUCUUAGCUUGCUAAGGCCGAUGGCGACCGGCGCACGGGUGAGUAACACGUAUCCAACCUGCCGUCUACUCUUGGACAGCCUUCUGAAAGGAAGAUUAAUACAAGAUGGCAUCAUGAGUCCGCAUGUUCACAUGAUUAAAGGUAUUCCGGUAGACGAUGGGGAUGCGUUCCAUUAGAUAGUAGGCGGGGUAACGGCCCACCUAGUCUUCGAUGGAUAGGGGUUCUGAGAGGAAGGUCCCCCACAUUGGAACUGAGACACGGUCCAAACUCCUACGGGAGGCAGCAGUGAGGAAUAUUGGUCAAUGGGCGAGAGCCUGAACCAGCCAAGUAGCGUGAAGGAUGACUGCCCUAUGGGUUGUAAACUUCUUUUAUAAAGGAAUAAAGUCGGGUAUGGAUACCCGUUUGCAUGUACUUUAUGAAUAAGGAUCGGCUAACUCCGUGCCAGCAGCCGCGGUAAUACGGAGGAUCCGAGCGUUAUCCGGAUUUAUUGGGUUUAAAGGGAGCGUAGAUGGAUGUUUAAGUCAGUUGUGAAAGUUUGCGGCUCAACCGUAAAAUUGCAGUUGAUACUGGAUAUCUUGAGUGCAGUUGAGGCAGGCGGAAUUCGUGGUGUAGCGGUGAAAUGCUUAGAUAUCACGAAGAACUCCGAUUGCGAAGGCAGCCUGCUAAGCUGCAACUGACAUUGAGGCUCGAAAGUGUGGGUAUCAAACAGGAUUAGAUACCCUGGUAGUCCACACGGUAAACGAUGAAUACUCGCUGUUUGCGAUAUACUGCAAGCGGCCAAGCGAAAGCGUUAAGUAUUCCACCUGGGGAGUACGCCGGCAACGGUGAAACUCAAAGGAAUUGACGGGGGCCCGCACAAGCGGAGGAACAUGUGGUUUAAUUCGAUGAUACGCGAGGAACCUUACCCGGGCUUAAAUUGCAGAUGAAUUACGGUGAAAGCCGUAAGCCGCAAGGCAUCUGUGAAGGUGCUGCAUGGUUGUCGUCAGCUCGUGCCGUGAGGUGUCGGCUUAAGUGCCAUAACGAGCGCAACCCUUGUUGUCAGUUACUAACAGGUUCCGCUGAGGACUCUGACAAGACUGCCAUCGUAAGAUGUGAGGAAGGUGGGGAUGACGUCAAAUCAGCACGGCCCUUACGUCCGGGGCUACACACGUGUUACAAUGGGGGGUACAGAGGGCCGCUACCACGCGAGUGGAUGCCAAUCCCCAAAACCUCUCUCAGUUCGGACUGGAGUCUGCAACCCGACUCCACGAAGCUGGAUUCGCUAGUAAUCGCGCAUCAGCCACGGCGCGGUGAAUACGUUCCCGGGCCUUGUACACACCGCCCGUCACACCAUGGGAGUCAGUAACGCCCGAAGUCAGUGACCUAACUGCAAAGAAGGAGCUGCCGAAGGCGGGACCGAUGACUGGGGUG
rnacentral:rRNA from 1 species